GAUGAACGCUGGCGGCGUGCCUAAUACAUGCAAGUCGAGCGAACAGAUGAGGAGCUUGCUCCUCUGACGUUAGCGGCGGACGGGUGAGUAACACGUGGAUAACCUACCUAUAAGACUGGGAUAACUUCGGGAAACCGGAGCUAAUACCGGAUAAUAUAUUGAACCGCAUGGUUCAAUAGUGAAAGACGGUUUUGCUGUCACUUAUAGAUGGAUCCGCGCCGCAUUAGCUAGUUGGUAAGGUAACGGCUUACCAAGGCAACGAUGCGUAGCCGACCUGAGAGGGUGAUCGGCCACACUGGAACUGAGACACGGUCCAGACUCCUACGGGAGGCAGCAGUAGGGAAUCUUCCGCAAUGGGCGAAAGCCUGACGGAGCAACGCCGCGUGAGUGAUGAAGGUCUUCGGAUCGUAAAACUCUGUUAUUAGGGAAGAACAAAUGUGUAAGUAACUAUGCACGUCUUGACGGUACCUAAUCAGUAAGCCACGGCUAACUACGUG
rnacentral:rRNA from 1 species